rnacentral:lncRNA from 1 species
AUAUAUAUAUAUAUAUAUAUAUAUAUAUAGAGAGAGAGAGAGAGAGAGGGGAAAGCACCAUGUUGUAUUGGUUUUUUAAACAAAUACACAUAUUGUGUGUCUGUGUAUAUAUAUAGUUACAUAAAUACAUACAUAUAUAUAUAUAUAUAUAUAUAUAGAGAGAGAGAGAGAGAGAGAGAGAAAGGGGAAAGCACCAAGUUGUAUUGGUUUUUCGAACAAAGCGGACAAAAUAAACAUGUAUUCGGUUCAUAUGAUACCUACUAACAUUUUCAGUCGGCCAUACAUCCAAGAAGCAAAUACAGUGCUUGCAGCACUGAGCUUAUGUCAAAACCUCAAAACAAGUACUAGAUGUACCUUAAAAGCAAAGCCAUUUCCUUUAAACUUCUCAUGUUAGCUUUUCUUUUCAUCUCAGCCAGCUCGGGAGUCGGGAAUAUCAUACAUGUGCUUUUUCGAGUUCACGCACAAGAGAAUCCUGGGACAAACAAAAUGAAAUGGUAAAAGAUUUGAGAAAGAAAUAAGCAUAAUAUAGUAUUUUCACAACUGUGAUUGCACGCAGAAGUGAACACCUUCCCAUGCUGAAGGGCUUAGAAAGAGGAUCAGUUAUGACUCUAUCUCCAGUCACAUAGGUCUGCAUUACAAUGUUUUGGUAUGGUCAAACAAAUAGUUUUAAAUGCAUGUGUUGCACCAGUAUGCUGUAAAAGGACCCUCACCAUCUUCUCAGCAAUAUGUGAAUGUGUUGCUUCAAGCAGCAAUGCAACAACAGCUGGAUCUGCUUCAGUUUGGUGGUUGGAGAUAAAGACAAUAUUAUGACCCUGCAUUUUGAGAAUUUUAGCACUGCUUACAUCUUAAAGAGGACAAAAAGAAAAAAUACCAUCAACUGUAAAAAGGAAAAUCAUAAAAAAGUAUUACAGUUUAGCCAAAUCUAUAAUUUAUCCACGGUUCAAAACAGCUUUCAAAACUCAGAAAGCAGAAGAUUCAAGCAUGCUAUAAGGAGGGAUCACAAGCCUUUGUCACCAGGGGCAUGGAUCUAAAAUAACUAAGACCAUCUCCAGCAGAUCAUCCUAAUUCUAAUUUUUAGCAUCCUACAAUAUUAAAAUGCUAUAAUAUUUUUGCGCGAUCAGCUUUUAUUGUACAAGACAAUUGUAAGUACUUAAUUACAUGUAUUUGCAUUUUCAUCAAGAUACUCUUUUAACUAGUAAUUUUAAAUGCAAUAAUUAAUAAGUUAAAUUGUUAAAAAUUAACUCGGAUACAUUAAUCAAAUUAUUUGCAAUACUUUUAAAUAUUUUAUUAAUUUAAAAAAUUGAAAUAAAUUCAAAAUAAAAAAAAGUAAAUACAUAAUUGACAUAUUAUGAAAGCAACAGAAUCAAUUUCAUGAAACAAAUGCUCAAACAUUGAUUGUCCUAAAAUUCUACACAAGGUUCCAACAUAGCAAGAUGCUAUAUUUGCCACUAUUGUGAAGGCUCUGCAGGAGCACUUUUUUCUUUCAAUCAUGCUAAAAUAUAGCAUUAGCACAAUUGAGAAAGCACUGCAGGAGAUGCUCCAAUAAAACUUAACUAUCAUUUAAUAUACUGAUGCUAAUCAUAUACCCUGCAACUAACAAGAAGUCUUUUUACUAUCUAAUACCAUACAAUCAGACAUUGAAACAGCUCACUCCUAAACAUGUCCUACAGAGCAUCUAUAGCCACAUGUACGGAAUGUGUUCAUACCCUGUAUUGAGUGACCAUUUGGUAAUAACAGACUAAUGGUAGCAUUGUCAUCUAAAAUUUUGAGGCUACUUUAAAGUCAAAGACAUCAGAACACUUUAGGCAGCUUUUUGAAACCUUGACAUGAAAUCAACUGUAUCUAAUGAUAUGGAUGACAUAUUGAUCCUGCAUAGCUUCCUUGUAUGAGGAGAUUGAUCAUCAAGUUCAUGACCAAUGCAAUAAUGAAUGGCAGUUCACAACUUCUUCACCUGAACUUUCACUUCACUACUGUUAUUUUUUCUAGAUUUUAUUCCCAAAUAAAGAAAAACAGAGGUGCUGCCUAAUUACCAAAGCAUGCACCAGACAGAGAAAAAUAGACAGCCAUACACCUUCACGAAACAACAUUCCAAAAUAUAAAAUGAAAAGAUGUUUAUAUUGUGUGCAAGUAAAAUAACUUUCCUGUCUAGGUUCAUCAGUAAUUGCACUACUAUAGCAAUUAGCAAAAAUCAUUGACUUGAGGUGUUUCCAGUUAGAAAUGUAGUAUCAACCCCAAGGUUUCAAAAGAUACUUCAUCGAAUUUGAUUAUAACAAUAAUAUAUGAUUAUGUUUAGUGAAAGAUGUUUUAUUCGUGGUUCUUUGAUUUAUUGUAUUUGAAGCUGAUUAAAGUUAGUGUGUGAUUUUUAAUGCUCAAGCUUCUGGAUUUUGAAUCAGCUCAAGAAAUAAAUGGAUCCAUCUCAAAGUUUACUAGACUUGAAAAAUUUAUUGCCAGAAGAGAAGCUGUUAGCACAAUUUGGAUCGAUCCAGCUCAAAGCUUACGGAAUAACUGCACAGAAAGUUUCCAGAAUACUUGGUGUCAGCUAAAUGUAAACUCAAAACCACCCGAUGCAAAGCCAGUUUGUGCACAAGCACUAUCUAAUAGUUUGAACGAAGAUUAUGGAUUUGAUUGUUUCAUUUUAACGAAGAAGUUUAUGGAUGAAGAGGUUGAAGAUUUGAUAAAUAAUUUGAUUGCAGGAUUGUUGAAAGCGAUGGAGUUCCUGACUAUGGUUAAGCAUAUGUAGCUGGGGGGCAAAUUGAGCACGUUCUUAAGACUACUAUAAAGCGUUUUACCAAUAGUUUCAAAAGGUUCUAAAUCACCAGAGCAAUUUCUGCCCCGAGCAAUUGGAAGCCACUUUCGAUGACGAGGGCACAGCCAACUACAGGUGGCUUUUUUAAAUGGGACCUGGUUUGCCGCACCGAUGUCCUUCAUGGGCAAGAAUCAUAUAUCUAUUUCAGCUUGGCAAUUGGUAAGGAAAAAAUAUCCAUCUUAUAUGGCAUGAAUCCCUUAUGGUUCGGGAGUCAAAGAAGUGUAGGAUUGCUCAGCAGCAAUUACAUCUUCUUCAAAAAGGGGUAGCGCUAUAGAAAGAUUGCAUGUCUUUUUCAUUUUAUUAGUAGUACCUUAAUCCCUGGUUCUUAUCUGAAUAUUGCUUUUUGAGUCUGCUUAGGCAUUCUUUUGAUAUGACCACAUAUGCCUUUUCAGUUUAUUCAAAAAUAGCAAGCUCAGAAACCUCUUUUACGGAAAGAAGAACCAACUGAAGUCACCAAUAUGGGAUUUUAAAGGAAGCCCCAGUGAAGCUACUGAUUGAAGAUUUAGAACCUACAAGGAAAGUGACAUAAGUUGAAGACUUAAUUCAACAUUUUUAUCUUAAAAGGAAAGAGAGGAUUUGAUUUUCUCUAAAGAAGUGAUGGCUAAUUCUUUGGGAUUUGUCUGAAAUUGUCCGAAGUCAAUCAAAGAGAUCUAAUUUGUUGAAAUACAAGAAGGGUAAACUGAAUGUCUGGAAUCUAAUCAUGUCAAGGCAAGAUUUCUGCAUGAUCAAAUAGUGGAUUUGAUGGGAUCAGCUACACAGGUGAAAAUUUGCAAAAAAAAAAAAAAAAGACAAUUGAAACCAACUGGUGCUUGUCCAGUUGGACACCCUUGCACAAUCCUAGUCAGACGGUCAGGUAGUCAAUUCUUGCUGAAGGCAAGUAUUGAUAAUUUCUUCCCAUUUGUUGGGAAUUUCUUAAGUUGGUUUAUUUCUUCCCCAUCAUGGAGUUAUUUCAUGAAUUGAUGUACUUGGGUAUGUUAUAUGCCCAUAGAUGUGCUGGUGGACUCUUUACACAGUUGCUGUAAUAUCCCAUAAUUGUAGUUCUCAUGAUGUGUACUUAUCUCCUAACCAUUGGCGAAAAAAGGGAGGAAAAGGAUUGAGGGAUUGAUUAAAGGCUUGGUCAAAUCAAACAUGUAAUUACCAAGAUUGUUUGAAGCUCAACAUGGAAAGCAAAUCAUGUAGCAGACACCUAAGAAGAGUAGAUACAUGAAUACAACAUGGACGCACCGCCACUACAUUUUCAGAAACAAAUCAGGACACAACGUGGCUAGGACACAUCAGAAAAUUAAUGUAUUAGAAGUAUAAAUAGAAAUAAUAAUUAUUUACAUUUUCACAUUCAAACAAAUUUAUAUUUUAUCAUAUCAAAAUCAUCUCCAUGUUCUGCGUACUAGAAAAGUGCAGAUAACAUAUAUCUAUUCUAGAAUUUGUUUAUGUCCACUUCUAAAUAAUAGGAGACACUAGUGGCUGACCCGUGUCAGGAUGUGGGUGUCUAACAUGCGCUUUACAUGGACAUUGGAAGGCUCAGUACUUUUAAGGAACGCAUGAUUGAAGAUCAUUUUGAAAAGCUCAAAGCUCUUCUAUCAACAACGGCUAGGAAUCGAGCUCCAAUGGUCAGAUUUUGAAGAUUACCUUUUGAGCUUAUGAGGAAGAUUAAAAAAAAAUAGUUCAAUUCCUAGUAGAAUAUACAGAGAGAGAAGAUAAAGACAAUCUCACUUGUGCAUUUAAAAGAAGAGAAUUAUAUUUUGAAAAGCGUUCUAUACUGUGUUUUAUUGGGUUCAUACACUUUUAAGCGAUAUAUUUGUUGAGAUUUGAUUGUUAAAUGGAUUGGGUUCAUACACUCAUUGUUAAAUGGAUUUGUAUCCUUGUUCUUACUUUUGUGAGACUGACUAUUGUGAGUGAUUUUUAGAAAUAGUGCUAGAUGUGUUACAAAACCACGUAUUUUGAUCCAAAGUCAUGAUUAGUUGGUAUGCACCAAGUGGAGUUUAUUUUUACUUUUUUACAGAAAAACAAAAUGUACCACUAGUUUGCAGUUGUUCUUUCAUGCGCAUAUUAUUUUCUUGUUGGAAUUUUAUAGAACAUGCCAUCAUAGAGUUCAGAGAAAGAAUUGCAAGUGCUAUGGUUUGGUUGGUUACUACUCCAGUAAGCAUGAGAAAGAAGAUGAAGCUUUAGGUUUCAAAAAUGAGAACAGUGACAACGGUCGCAAAGCACCCUUCAACAGCUAGAAAGUUUAGCGAGAGAGAAAAGGAGAAGGUUUAACAAGACUGGAGGCAUCUAACAGGAAGUAUACCUGAAAAGAAAUGUAUUGAUGAUAAAGAAGAAAAUGAUAAUGAUGCAAUAAGAACGAUGUGACAACAAUAAAAUAAACACAACCUUAAAUGAAGUUAAAAACCUAAAAAAUGCAGAGAGAGAGAGAGAGGAAUAAGUUUCAAUUGUAAUGACAAUUAUAAAUAUUGCAGUAUAAGGAAGCUUGCAGAGAGAGAGAGAGGAAUAAGUUUCAAUUGUAAUGACAAUUAUAAAUAUUGCAGUAUAAGGAAGCUUAAUAUAAAAUUCAAACAAUAGCUGAAAAAGGCUUCAAGUUCAAUGCUGGUUAUUAAUCUUGGACUAGGUUUACCUACUUAUUUAAGUCACUAAUUUAUCCAAGCUUUUUUAGAAAUGUUCUACCAGAGACUAUUAGAUCUUCCCUAAAGACGUAGAACUAGCAUAGGAAAAGGAGGUCACAGAGAGAGAGAGAGAGUAGAACCAAUAGCCCGCAUUUAUGGAUUUAAGCAACAAAUUAAUAGGUUUCAUAUGCAGUUAAACCUCUAUUUGUUAAGAAGAUUCAAGAACUUAAUUGACAAAUAAUAUUUUUGAAGGACAUGGUGGGCACCAGCCUGGUGGCGGCCUGCCUAAUCUGCCCAGUCUAGCCCGUGCUAUAUGGGGCUUGGGAUUAAUUUUUAAGCCCACGGGGUUAGGCCGGGCAGCAUAUUUACGCUCGUUUGAUAAAAGAACCUGGGCACGAAAAUACAUUUUUAAACCCAGUCAGGCCUGGCCAACUAAUAUAAAAUACUUAAAUUAUUUUUAUAUUAUUUAUAUUAAUUGAAAAUAUAAAGAAAAAACAUAUUAACUUUGCUUCUUCUAGGGCUUUCAAAUUUCCCUCACAAAGCACUGCCACAUUUCUGGGUUUCCGAGUGUUCUAUACUUCCAGUUCCAAAUCGGAUGGGUUUUCCUAUGCACAAGAGUUGAUAAUUAUAUGAGAAAUGGGUUAUGUCUGUCCCUAAUGGCAGUUUUGUCGGUGUGUGGAUAGUCAGUGGUGUAUGUAUUACACACUUAUAGUGUAUUUAGUUUCUCUCAUGGUGGUUUUAGAAAUCUGCAAGAUGUAAUUAAUUGGGUAGCAUGUACUAGUGUAUUGUCCAUUUUAACUUGAUCUGUGGUAUUUCGUAUGAUUUGGUGUUUUUACUAAAUUUCAGCAAGGUUCUGAUUUGUCCAAAAAGAAGAAUUCCAAUGCAGAUUUUUCAUUGUAUUGUUAAUUAAUAUAAAGCUCUUGGCGUAGCUAAUGUCCAAAUAAUUUACUCAUCAGCCCAAAUAUCAUACAGGUUAAGGAGGGAGGACUUGGGACAUGAAAAUUUUGCAGGACUGAAUUGCGAUCAUGAGGUGAAGCUUGUUUAUUUAUUAGGUGGGCUUGGGCUUGGGCUUGGGCAUAUGCACAAAUGUUCUUAUUACAAGCCCGGCUGGAUAAAUGCUCACCCCUUCCUUGGUUACAUAAUUUGUUUAGAAUAAUAUAAAUAAUAAAGUUGUCCCUCCCUAACAGUUUAAACUUUUAGAUGAGUUGGUAGUUAACUCUUCCACAUGGUAUCAGAGCCUUAAUUGAUCCAAACCCUAACCUGCGCUAUCUCCGUUCACCACCAGACGAACUCCAGCGAGUCAGAUCUUGCCUGAGAAUGGCUCGCCAUAGCAAGUCCAGUCAAGCAGGAGCCCACCUAGGCUCGUCUGGUCCUACCGAAGGCUCGUCACGUCCUGUAAGCAUCUUGGACCUUGCCGAAGGCUCGCUGGACAAACCCUGGCCUGCCGAGGCUUUGUUGGACCUCCUUGAGGCUUGUCGGAGGCUGUUUGAUUCCAGAUCUAUUACUUUCCAUAUUAUUUUUUUUGAUAUUCUGAAUGGAGCUAUUCGUUAUAUAACUAUUUGUCAACGUAGUGUGGCAUUGUGAUUGUUGUGAGCUUCAUUAUUUUUUUUUGUCACUAGUCAGACUACAGUUAGUUCUACAACCCCCACUGUGACACCGAGAUAGAUUGUCGUCUCGAAUGAAAACCCCAACCUAUAAAUCACCACAACCCUGUUUGACGUUACUAAUUACCUAUCCUAGUCCAAAUAUGUCACUCUUUCUGAAAAGCAUAAGUAAAAUAGGGUGUGUCAAUGGUACUAUUAUUUCUCUCAACGUGGGAGAUCCUGGAUUUGAUAAGUGAGAUCAAGAAAACUCUUUGAUUAUGAGUUGGUUACUUCACUCCAUGAUUCUAGAGAUUGGCAAGGGCUUCUUAUCCCUUAAUAUAGUCAAGGAUAUUUAGGAUACUCUCUCUGAGACUUACUCUAGACAAGGUAACAAAGCACAAGUGUAAAAUCUGCAGCGGAGUGUAGAUCAUUUGGACCAAGCCAAGAUGACGUCCCUACAAUACUAUUAUGCUCUUACUACUUUAUGGUAUCGCCUCGAUCAAUUGGCUGAUUAUACUCCUAUUUGUUCUGUUGAUACUACUGCCUUCCGAAAAUUUAUUGAUAGGCAAUGGGGUAUUCAAGUUCUUAGCAGACUUACGAGAUGAGUAUGAUCAAGUCUGGUGCCGGAUACUUAAUAUGGAUCCAAUUCCCUCCUUGAGAGAAGCCUUUGCCUUUAUCCAAAAUGAGGAGGGCCGUCAAGGUAUGAUAUUACCACCUAUUCCUUCUAAGCGGUCGGCCCUUGUUUUUGUUGUUCCCCAGUCUGAGUGCCGCAGCUAGCCUAACCAUUAUGAUUCUGGUCCUUUUAUUGGUAUUGAUGAUAAGGAUAAGUUACAUGCCAGCGUCACGCUAGGGAGACUUGUUGGCGUCUCCAUGGUCGUCCUACUCGAGAACGAGGUGGUCGUUUAGGCUAUGCGAGUGGUCGUGGUGGCAGUUCUCAUGCUCAUCAUUCUAUGGUGGUCAAGCCUCUUCCUUCAGGCUCUGAGUCCAUGACCGUAUCUACCACUAAGAUUGAGUUUCCCCGCAGCGUGAUGUCUCAACUUGUAUAUUCACUUGUUCAAAAAUUAGUUUUCAAUAAAACUUUAUAUACUAUUAAUUAUCAGGAAGGAAACACAGCACAUGCGCUACUAUAAUCAAUAAAAAUACUAAUAGCAUGAAUAUAAAUAUUAGAAAAAAACUAAUUAGUAAUUUCCCCACAAUUUGAAACAUAAAUAAUCAAUAUUCUUUAGAAACACGUGGGCCCUACGUUAAUUUGUGCUAAAACUUCUAUAGCCACUUCACAAUUCUACUAACUAAUAGUUUGCAGAUCUCCCAUGAUCAUUAAUUAUGAGAAACUCAACUGUAGUGAGAGAAACAGCACCAAGUAAAAUUACAGAAGAACAACAAAUUGAAAAAAGAGAGGGAAAAAAAACAGUACAAUUAGGCACCUGCACCUGCACCUGCUGAAGCUUCUCUUCAAUUUCGUAGAACAGGGAGAUGUUGCCAACAUAUGAACUCCUGAAGACAGAGAGGAUCAAGUGAAGGACAGCAAUGAACACUUAAGUUCCAGAUGCAGAAAGUUCUUUCAUUAGGGAUAAAAUUUUCCAAAAUGGAGAAGUCUCACUGCUGUGGUUUGAGGACAAUACUGCAUGUCCCAUCCUAACCAAAUAGUUACAAGAGACCCAUGAUAAAGUCAUAUCAUCAAGGGAUAAAAGAGUGAAUGAACUAAAUGCAUUCACUAUAUGCCUAAUUCCUCAAAUGUUCUACUUUUAGAAACAGCAGGAAUAUUUAUCUGAUUUAUUUGAGGCGAUUGCUAGUUAGUGUUCGUAUAGAACAGCACACAUGAUGUCGGCAAGUAGAAGAGUAGAGACUUGAAUGCAGCAAAAAUGGAAGAAUUUACAUUUGAUCGAUUAGCCCAAAUACUAAAAAACUUGAUGCAAAAAUAGGAGCUCCUAGAAUUAUCUUUGCUUCUGUGUUGGAACAACACAAAUAGGUAGGUUUCAAAAGCAUUGAGACAAGGUCCUUACAAUUUAAAACUCACAAUUGAGAAGAACUGGCCAAGUAAGUAUAAAGAGAUAAGAGUACUUGAAGAGAAGAUUUUAAUUCACCUUGAACUCCCUUGAUCUAGAAAGAAACCAGAAGGCAUAUUAAAGUAAGAAUUAGCAAAAAUACAGAUGCACAGUAACUUAGAAUGAAGUUAAUGAACUUGUUGGUUGGAUGGGGAAACAAAGUGAGAUUUGGCAAGAUAUAUGUUUAGUGAGUAGUGAGGAGCCCCCCAGUAACAAUCCAGCCAAUGCCCAAGGGAUGUCAUUCAAGUUCAUAUACCCAAGAUCACAAUAAACUUCCGAUUUGUGACUCAACACAUGACUGCAGCCGGGGUCCCUUUUGUGGUAAAAGGGGUGACUAUAGUAAAAACCAUGAAAACUCACCCAAAAGUGGUUAUCUACAGGAUAUUAUUUGUGUUAAAAGUUAAAACCUACUACAUAUAUGUCCAAGAUUCCCCAUGCAAAUUCUCAAAUCUCAAUGUAGAAAUGAGUACAAACCAGUGCUGUUUCAGGUCAUUACAAUCUCCGCCGUUUAUCCCAUUGCAUCCUCACACAUAGCUCAAACGCCAUAACUAACAUCAGUAAUCAAGUGCAAAUACAAUGAGUGCCGUGUGGUCAGCCCCAAAAUAAAGUGAAUCUACAUUGCAAUGCCCUAGAGCCCAUAUAAUCGUGUGCUAGUCCCAAAUCCCCAUGUGGACUUCCAAAGUGAGACCCUGCACGCCAACGUGGGUCGAUGUCAUUACAAUCUCGCUUUCUAUCCCUUCUUAUACGCAUGACAGGCCUAAGAUACAAAAACUAACCUCUGUAACCAUGUCUAAAUACCCUGACCGGCUUGUGGUCAACUCCAGAAUAGAAUGACCACAUGUUGCAAUGCCCCAAGCCCACACAGUCAUAUUCUCUAGUCAAUUAUGUACCAUAAGUAAACACAACAAGAUCUCACCCAAAAUGGCUAGUGAAGGAAUAUCUUUUAGGUUCGCUACUCCCCUUUAUGCACACAAGACCCCCAUGCAAACCCCUAACAUGUAACUCAAUACAAGCCACCAUAGUCAAUAUUGUCAAACACCUAGUUUAACUUUUGCAAUAAUGUUUAGAUUUGCUUAGAACAUGGAGGGUUUAGCGGUGGACUUUAUGUGUAACUAAAAGAAUUGGUCUAUCUGAGAUGUUUCUAGAAGAACACAUUGGAUUGGGAGGUUCACGCAGUUGCAUUGUUUCUGAGGCCUUGUGUAAAUUGAAAUGACUAUUGGUGCCCCCCGAAUUCGAUUCAAUAAAUUACUUCAUCUAUUGAAGAGAAAACAAUCCAAGGUUAGUUGGAACUUGGGCCGUGUCCCAAAUCCUCAAUUAUUUGACCAGUCUAGGGAGUAGGUAUAUAACAAGGAUUAUCCCUAAAUAGGUGGUCAACCACCUAUAAGUUGUCUUCCUUUUUGGACCCUAUCAGAUUGAAAAGUUAGUGUCAUAUUUAUCAUUUAUUGAUUAUGGUGGGUUCCUCUUACCUUGGAUUGGAUAACCUCUGAAAAAGUCUAAUGACUCCUUGAAGGUUCUAUUUACCGAGCCAAAAGAUUAGGAUGACUCUUUUACCAUCAAGUAACUUCCUCCAUUCAGGGAACAAAUGAAAUAGACAAUCGAUCUAUAACCAUUAGUUAUGCAAAGGUGACUUCACCAUAGUGGUCAAUGGUCCUGGAUUGCGCAGAAGUGUGGGGAGGAGCCAAGGAGGGAGAGGCUCGUAAUAUACUUCAACAUACAUAUGUUUCCUUAUGUAUAGCCAUUAAACCAUCCAAUUCGAAAUAGACUUUAUCAGACCCACACCCACUCUAAUACAGAACUUCUUCCGCUACCACUUCAUCUCUUUAUUCUGAUUUUCUUUCAUCAUCCCUUCAAAUCAUCAACUUAUCAGGGGGAAAAUUCUUCAAUGCUAUUAAAUUAUCUAAUUUUCAUUCUUUCGAAUCUUUCCUGACAAGAAAGAUGUAAUGUAAUCUUCAUAUAAAGGAUGGAGAGAACUUAACCCAUGCACACACAUGGAUACAACACGCACAAAAAAAACUUAUAAUAGUUAUUUUUUUAGUUGAAAAUCUCCUCCACCUUCUUUCACAAUUCUCUCCCAUCUCCUAGAAAAUAUUACUCCCUUCAUCCCAUUUUGUGUGUCCAUCUCUCCUAUGUGGGAUGUCCCAAAAUGCUUGUCCAUUUUAAAAGGUCAAAGCAUAAAAAUUGUUUGUUUUUUAAAACUAUCACUAACAAAUAGAUACAAAUACUUUUGAAAGAGCGUUCUAAAAAUCAAUAUAUUGAGAUUUGAAUUUGAGUGCAUUAAAUGCUUGCCCCCCUUAAAAAUUUAGAACUUCCAAAAGGGACAAAUAAAGUGGGAUACAAGAAGUACUAUUUUUAAUCGUAAAAGGGAAAACAAUGGUCAUAUUUACUUCAAUGCUUUCAUAUUAACGUUAUGCAAGAACCUCAAUAAUCAUACCAAAGAGCAAGCUAUCUUGAAUGAAGCGUAUACUCUAAAGGCAACCAAUUGGUUGCCCAACACAGGUAACAAGUAAAACCUAUGAACAAGACCUUUUACCUCUUAAGUCAUAUCAGUAAUUCCAUCUUUGUAAGAGUUAAUAUGUGGCCGGCACCUCCAAGGUAUAAAAAUCUCUGGCCAGUGAUUAAUUUAUAUUAGAGAUAAGAUUUGUCGAGUAUCUCUAAUUUUCCACUUCCCAACAUAACUAUCUUCCUUUUAAUUGAAUAAACAUGGAUGCAAGCACAAACAUACAUGUAGCACACUGUCAAAUCUCAAAGUUACCAACUACUUCAUCUCAAAUCCACUAACUAUACUCCAAACCACUCGGUAAACAAACAAAAGAUACAAAAGCAAACAUACCUGUAAUCAAUCAAAGGACGGAUAUAAUUUUGACCAAACAUGUAGUAAUCAAAAGGUUCGCGUAUGGCUUUGUGAUAUGGCAAGAAGACAAAAGGGUCUUGAAAAAAUACUGUUACACUUAAUGAAAUUGCAAAUCCAUCAGAAGAUAUAAACAACUUGACAGAGUAAUUCACCAAAAAAAAUGACAGUACAAAUGUUAAGAUACCUCCACGUCCUUGAAUAUACGAUCAAGUGCCACAGUCAUGUUAGAUAAAAAAGUCUCAUCUGCAUUGGGAUUUCCACUUUGAAAAAGCUGAAACAUCAGAACAUGCCAAAGAAUUAGUGCAAGGGUAAAAAACUACAAGCAAAAUACAAAAUUAGAGAAAGUAACCUUGACAAACAAAUACCAAAUACCUGAUUCACUCUCAGUAAAAAACCCGUCUUAAUAUAGAAACAUUUUUUUAACAAAUUCCAAUAAUCCUUCCAAGAAAGCAGAUAUAGUUGGCAUUCUUUCAACUUACUAUUUCUUCUCAAGCUGUAAGGACAUGAUUCUAGUUACAUUUACUUAUCAAAAAAAAAAAAAAGAGACUUCCAUAUAACUAUAUAAACAUGUUAAGAUGGGGUGAUUAACUUUUACAAUGGCCUGACAUGGAUCAACACGCGUUAGACCAAGUAAUGGUGGUCCAUGUUAAUUGUCAGGUCAUGGGAAGAACUAAAAUCUACAUUCGAUUUUCUGCCACUAACGAUCGAAAAGUGGGUCCAUUGUAAAAGAAAGUACACGGGAAGCUCCACUAAAUGCAUCAAUUAAACAUGCAAACCAAAUUCAUAACUAUUCCUAAUACGCACCUUCAGACAAAUGUUUACAAGGGGGGAACCAGCUAUAGGGGAACUCCCCAGAUUUGUUUAGUAUUGUCGCAGAUAAAAGAGAGAUACAUAAUGAAAUUUUCCAAGUCAUUGAGAGGCCAAUGCUUUUGAAGCCUAGAUUUUUGGAGGUGGGCUGGAUAAGCAACUUUCUCUAGAAAGGAAUACAUAUUGUAGGAUUGGAAGCCAAAAUUCGUGGACAUUUCCUUGAGGUACUUAGUGGGGUCUCCUUUUCCAGCUAUACAAAGGAAGUGUUCAGAUGAAGAUGAACUGCAGGUAUGCAAGGCAACGCAGCGAAGGGAAUAAGAAGUUGAUGGGAAAUCCCUUAGAAGGUCAUUUGGCAUGUCAGUGCGAUUUCCCAAAUGCCAAUUGUUGUUUAGUCCACACUCAUGACUACUGAUAUAAGAAGGCAAAAAUGAUGCUCUCAAGUUGGUGCUGCAGAGGAAUAGUUAAUCAUCUUCACAAUACUCAAUUCUUGGUUCAAUUGAAUUUUAGAAAAAGGGUCCAAAAGAAAUUCGAGCAACCUUGGAUCCUACUCUUGUUUGUAUCUGUCUAGUUUUCUAAGGGAAAGGAACAGGUCACAUGUUCAUUAUUUGAAAUUGAAAAGAGAGAAAUAGGCAUCUAUAACAGAGAUUAAAAAAAUAUAUAUGUUCACAUAUUAAAGAAUGUUAUGCUCCAAAUUCAACCAAUUGGCGAUAGCAUAGUUAGCCGCCCCUGCACACUUACAACUCGGAGGUCAGAGCAUCAAUUUUGGCCAAAGGCAAGGUAUGGAUAUUUCUUCCCCAUUGCAUGAUUCUUUCUUGUUGUUAUACUCUAGUGGUUGUUGGAUUUGUUUGUAUGCUUGUAUGUAUGGUGGAUUCCUUACAUUUUCGUUAUCCCAUUUGAUGUAAUUCAUGUUGAUAUUUGUAAAUUAUUUGCCACUGAUGGUAAAAAGAAAAAAAACGUUUGUACCAAUUCUUAAUUGCGUUUUGUUGAUAUUUUAGGAGACUUGAGUUCCAAUAUGAGCUUAGUUUUGUGUAGCUACCAUAUACUUUGACAUUGUAGGUUAUUCACUUAAUGGUUUCUUUAUGGACAGUCAAAAACUUCAAAAACAUCGUCAUAUCUAGAAAGAUAAGAUGAAAAAACAAGAAACAAAGUUUAAAGUCAACAGUUUAGGUUAUCCUAUCUUCAGUCAAUAGGAGGAAUUGAAGCUUCACAGAUAUAACAAACCGUAUCAAAAUGCUUUCCGGGUAGUAGAAAAGGAAAAUAGAAAUAAAAGCCUACAAGAAAAGUAGAGAAGAUUCAAAUUUCAAACUUAAAUCCAAUAAAAUUGCUACAUGAGAUGUAUUUGGUUAUAUAUACAAAUAUUUUAAUAAGAAAUACUAAAUGAAUGAAGAUCAGGAAUGAACAACCAUAUGAAGUAAUUCUAAUAGUAGAAAAAUGGCAUUAUGCAAAAAAAAAAUCAUAAUAGCAUGAAUCCAAGACGAUUGAUUACCGCAUUUCGAUAAUUCUGAUAGAGUUCCUCCAUUCCUUGAGCAACAUUUGAAGGAAGCCUUCCAGCUUCUGCUUCCUUUUUAAUUCAGGAAAGGAGAUCUACAUAUAACAAAUACUGACCCCGCAUAAGACAGCAGCAAAUAAUCCAGAUUUUAUUUUAAAAUGUAGAUGUCAUAUUGUCUGCAUGGAUGAGGUAUUAACAAAGCAUAGUUGCUACGAGUUGAGGCUGUUCAGCUGACUUAGAAGUUUGGGGUAUUAGGUUUAAGACAUAUCUUUGAAUAUGAAGUGAUGUAAUGUUACUUGUAUUCAGUCUGAAAUUGGAAUGGCCCUGCUUUUCUAUAUCCUCCAAAGCAAGAUUGUCGUUCUAAAAACUGGGAUUAGAACAGUACAAUAAUCAUUAGAAAAAAAAUAUCAAAUCUUAAGAAUGCUUCAAAAUCUUUUCAAUAGCUUGCCAAGAAAUAAUUUUUGGCACUGAAAAUAAAAACUUGAGGAUUUUAUGUGAUGGGGGCUGUAUUUCUAGCAACAAUUUCAGACAAAUAUGGGGCAUCCACUCCAUUGCACGCCAAAUGAUUCAAAGCAUAUAUUGAUAUAUAUUAGGUGAUUUUUCCCGCACUUUUAAGUAUUAUUGCGCGCAUGAAUUGUUCAUUUUAAUCGUGUUGGAGCGCAAGUGGAUUAAAUUGUCUUGCAAGACUAACAGAUGCCUAGAGAAUCCUGGGACGGGGGUACGAAGGAAGGAUUUGCAAGUCAAUAGGCUGAAUUAAAAAAAUUAAAGAGGAAAUGCAUAAUGCAUAUUAAAAGUUGGCUAAUAGUAAUGGUGGAUUCGUUUACAUAUUUAAUUUUCUAUGACGCGGAUGACAAUGUGAAAUUGCAUGCGAGGGUAAAAAGUCAUUUUUUAGUCGGACUAAUUUUGGGGAAAAGGAUUCUAGUUGAAUUCUAAUAGCAAGGAAGUUUCUUUCCUAUUUUUCAAACAAGGGGUAUAGGUGCCUUACUCCAAGCCUUAUGAAAGGUCGGUGCAAAUUUACCCUAACACACCGUUUGGUGUGAGGGAUUCGUUGAGAAGAGAAAAGAAAUCGAGUGAAAGGAGACUCACAUCACUUGUUUGGCUAAAUACAAAGGUGAGAAAUGUAGAGAAAUGGUGAGAAAUGGUGGGAAAGAGAACUCUCACAAGACCCCACUUUUCUUUCUCACCAAAAGUGGUGAGAUUUAGUGAAAAAGCAAAGUGGCUGGAUAUAAAUUAUUUGAAGUUCCAACUUUGCCAUUAGAAAUUUAAUAAAAUGGCAAAUUUGUCCUAAGGCUUUUCAUAUUAUGCCUAGAUCAAAAUAGAAUUCACUUUCCCACCAUUUUUCCCUCCCCUCCAUUUUCCCCUUCCCUCCAUUUUUCCUCCCUCCAUGUUUCCUUCCCCUCCAUCACUGCAAAUAUAAAAGGCUGAACCUCAUCACUUCUUCAUCACCAACAUUAAAAAAGUAGAGCUACCUUCCAAAAAAAUCUCUGCUCUGUGAUUCUAAGUGAAAGAAUCUGCUUCGUGUGUGUGUCCUAGGCCCAUAUCGCACCUUAUGCUUUGUUUUUAAUGAAAUUGAUUAAUGCUAUUCUUAAAAAAGUAUACCUGCAUUAUUAUUCAUCUACUCUAUUUUCAGCCUUUUGUUUGUAUGACAUGCCAGGGAAAUUGGAGUGAAAAUUUAGAGGAUUUGUGUACAUAUACAAUUCUAUACAAAAGGCUAUUUUGGUAAAAGAAUACAAAACCCUUUCCUUUCCUUUCUCUUAAAAAUAUUAGCCAAACAAAAUGGGCGAGAAGCCACAAUCUCUUAUGUUUUAAUCAUCCAAACAAGAUGGUGAGAAAUCAUAAUCAUUUCUUUUCUUUUCUCACCUAGGUGAGAAACCAUAAUCAUUUCUUUUCUUUUCUCACAUUUCAUGCCAAACUGACCCUAAGUUAAACAAUGAUGAUAUAAUUUUCACUUCACAUAUCUUCCACAGUCAAAGAAGUUUUUGAGAUUAAGAAAUUACUUUUUAACUUUAUUUUAGCAAAAAUAACACCACCACCAAUGUUUCAAUGGUAUUCCAAGAUAAGAAUAAACACUUUUUUGAAAGCUCGAUUUCACUUGAAAAAAUCUUCUCACAGUCAACAAUUUGCCAAUUUGUACAUAUUCUCCUGCUAAAGGAAGAUUGAUUCAUAUGAUCUUCUAAGAUACUUUAACUGUCCAGUAAAGAUUAGAGGAUUUCAAGCAUUAACAUCAUAAGUUAGAAUUUAGGAUCAUAAAAUGUAUUAGAACAUCAUAUACUAUGAGUAUAUCUAAUUGAUUCAGCAUUUUUACCUACAUGAAUUAUAGCAAGGCAAGGGAAUUGUUAAUCAUCUUCUACUCCAUCGCCUGUCCAGCGACUAGAGAACUAUGGAAUUUUUGUUUUGAAUUUUGGAGUCACUUUGAUGAUACUUUCUUUGUGGAUCAUAUGCUUACCGGUUGGAGUUCUGGAUGUCCAGAGAAGGAGGAUAGGACUGUAUUACAAUUUGCGGCUUUGGGUGUUUUGUGGACUGUUUUGAGAGAGCACCAUAUGAGGAAUUUUAAAGGUUUAGAGUUUACCCAUUAUAGUUCGAAAGGAUCUGUUCUCUCCUUUGUUUUUCUGGAUGGCAUGGGACUUUUCAUUUCCUAUUCUACUUUUUGUGAUAAAUGCCUGUGGAUAUGUGGCAUAGGGAGCAUUUUACAUUGUACGGGGUUCAUCCCCUUUCACAGGUUCUUUAAUAGAAUUUUACACUAAUAAAAUGGCACACAAACAAAGUGCGCAAUUUUUGCAGCUAUGCUUUACUCAUACCCUUUUCAAGGUAACAAUUGAGAAGUUCCUAACGUUCUGACUCAACAGAUUCAUUGCAACUUCAUUCAGAAUAUGUCUUUUAAAUUUAAAAAUAAGAGUGAGUGAAAUCUACUCCCUUAAAAAAAUUCAUUCUAUAUAUUUAAAAGAUUUAGCUGUUCCUUACAUCAAACUAUAUACUGCAUGGCAUAGAAUACAUAAAAUAAUUAACACAUAAGGUUUCAUUUGGACUUCAAAUCAAGAGAUUUAGUGUUUAAUUUUAACAAAAAUAUUAGAGUGCAAUAGGGAUUAAAGUAGAAGAGAUUUAGAGUGGAAUCAAGAGAUUUAGCUAGAGGUGGCUUGUCGAAUGAGAGUGGAAUGGGGAUUAAAGUAGAAGAGAUGUCUUUCUUGUAGAGCUACAAAUCCUUAGCAUGAAGGAUUUCAAAACACUAGUAUUAAAUAGUCAUUUCAUCGUGAUAAAGCUUCAAAACUCAAUGUUGAAAUUCAUAUAUAAGCUAUCAUAUUUAAAUUUGAGCUAUUCUCGUUGAGUAAUUAUGUCUAAUCCCUUCAUUUGAAACCCACGUCUGUCCAAAUGUAGGCACAAUAUCAUUGCAAGGUCAAUAACGAGUAGCAUAAAAUGACCAUAUAUAGUUUACAUAACAUAAGUGCCAAAAUAUCUCAACCCUAGAUGUCCUGUGACAUCCAAAGGACCAACAACUUACAAUUGCCUCCCAUUAUCCCAACAAGUAAAUUCAACGAGCAGAUUCAUCUUUUAUUCAACAUGUGAAUCAGCAUACACCAAUCAAUUCAUCAAGGUCUAAAUUCUAGUGUUCUAAAAAUCGGCCGCCUAGGCCCCGCCUAGGCGCUAGGCCCUCCGGCCACCCACUUAACGCCUAGUGCUUUUUAGAAACCUAGUUUCUAGUUUCUAUAUAUUUUAGAAACCUAAAUUGUCAUUUUUAUCCUCCUCUUAGUAUUAUUCAACAUUAAAUAGUUGAAUUCUACUAUUUUGAUGUCAUUUCUUUAUUAGAAUUUGAUAUUUGAUCAUUUAUUAUUGUUUUUAGCAAAUAUUAAUUAUCUAAAUAAAUAAAAUAAUAAAAAAAAUGCCUAGGCCCCGCCCGUCCACCCACUUACCAUCCAGCACUUUUUAAAAAAUGCCUAGGCCCGCCGCCCUCUUCUCAGAACCGGAGCUAGAAGCGAAGAUGGUCACCGCCGAAUCCACCAUCUCCGCCAUUCCUCUGGCCUUGGAAGAGCAGAGCACCGCGCAAGGACACCUCUGAACAGUCGAUCGAACCCCCAACGAGCAGGAAAUGGAACUGGUAUUGGAAGACGAGAGUAAUGAAGACGAAACCCUAACUGCGGCGAAGAAGUGUGUGUGUGGCGAGGCAGAGAGGAUCAACAUGGUUUGCGCAAAUAGACUGUGUUGCGCAGAGAGAGAAGAGGCGGGAGGAGAGAGAAUAGCUAUUAUCUACGAAGAGAGAGAAAGAGGGAGCCGAGUGUAUUGGCGGAGCCGAGUGUGGACUCUUUUUGAUAUAUGGGUAGCGGGUCCGUGCAUCGUUGAUUUUUGAAACAAGCAGACUUAAUGUGAGGAAAUUUGACCUAAACAGUUGUGACUACUAACCCCAUUCUUUAUUGGAUAAUGGAGGGGCGGGGGUGCUAUUGAUUUUUGAAACAAGCGGGACUUAUUAGAACGUGUGCGAGGAAAUUGGACCUAAACAGUUGUGAUUAUAAACCCCAUUUUUUAUUGGGUAGUGGGUGUGUGCGUCAUUAAUUUUUGAAACAAGCGAGACUUAUCGGAACACGUGAGGAAAUUGGACCUAAACAGUUGUGACUUUGAACCCCAUUCUUUAUUGGGUAGUGGGUGUGUGCGCUAUUAAUUUUUGAAACAAGCGAGACUUGUCGAAACACGUGUGAGAAAAUUAGACCUAAACAGCUUUGACUAGAAUCCCAUUCGUUAUAGGGCAACUAUCGUUACGGUGGUAUGAUCAACCGUUGUUAUCACAAUUCAAUGGAGUGAAAAUAAUAAUAUGAAUUACAAGGAAUUUAUGUGGUAAAAAGACUUGCUCCAUCUGCCUUAUGUUACUCUGAGAUAUCAUUUUUUCUUUUGCUUCACUUUCCAAAUACACACCACUAAUGUCUACAUGACACGUGUCCCCAAACAAUUCUCUCUUCCCUUUCUAGUUCACUUACUUAAUUUCUCCCUCUCCUACGUAAAGUAAAAUUAUCAUUUCCUUUAAAUAAAUAAAAAAGUAUUUUUUAACAAAAAAGAGAAAAAUUAUUUUAAAGAAUAAUUACAUAAAAGUUUCACGGUAAACAAAGUCCCAGUUUGGAAAACAGGCGGCGGGUUGGCCUAGUUUUGGGUUUCGUUUUUUGAUUUUCAAGUUUUUUUUAUUUGUAAUAAAUUUUUUUGUCGUUUGCUCAAAAUUUUAUACUUUUUGGGUUUCUCUUGACAAAAAGAGUCUAAAAAUAUUUUUAAAAAUAUCUAAUUCAAAAAAAAAUUCACUAAAAAAAAUAUCUAUUUUUUGACUUUAGUAAGAGGAAUUGAAAAAAUAUAAAAUUUUGAUAAAAUAGAGAAAGAAGUUUACUAAAAAUAAAAUAAAAAUAAAAAUUAGUUAACCAAAAAAACAAAAAUAAAAUAACUCAAACUAGGCCAACCCGCCGCCUGUUUUCUCAACCCGUCUUUUUCUCAAAAAAAAAAAAAAAGUCACCCUUAGAUUUUUCGUUGAGACGAAACUAACACAAUAAUAUUUUUCAACGAGAUAAUUGUUGAUAUAAAUGACUUGCACCCCACACACACACACACAUUUUACUUAUGAUGUGGGAUAAAAUAUUCGCUUAUUAAUAUUCCACAAUCGAGCACGUCGUCUGGACGGCAUCGUCGCCAGUUCCCUAAUAUAUUAUUGAUUGCCCAGCGAGUGCACAUCACUAGACACCAACCUCAUGGGAUCCCACCCCCGCUUGGAAUGCUACAGUUAUCUCCGAACCCUCUUGACCGAGGUAAAAUGAGUCAAACAUUCUGCAUGGAACCUCGCCGAAUCAUCUCGACUGAGC